GAAACGUUGGCUUCGCUUUGCCCGCCCCGCGCAGCCCAUCGAUGACGUCACUGCCGUACGAAGCAGCUGAAUGGCCGGGUUACUAAACCUCACGUCAGGCUUCAGCGGCCGGGCGCAGAGAGCCUAGGUGGCUGAGUCAGGCGCGUAUGCCGCUGAGCUAAAUCCCCAGCCCUGCAAUGCAUUUUUAAAAAUUUAAACACUGAGACAGCGGCCCUUCCAGGGGGAGAACCAGCAGCAGCUCCUGAGACCCACGCCAUGUUGGAACUUAGGACACUGGCAAGCCAAGCAAGCACCUCCCAUCCCUGGUAAGCAGAGGCAGUGUGGCAGACUACAGCCCUUUCAGGGGGAGAACCAGCAGCAACUCCUGAGAUCACGCCAUGUUGGAACUGAGGACGCUGUGAAACCCAACAACCAGCCUGCCUCCCUGCUGGGCAGUAGUGAACCUGCUGAUGCAUGGCCUGGGGUCCGAUAUCCCACUUCCCCUACCCCUCUUCUCCCCCCCCCCAGCCCAUUAGCGGGUGGGAACCAGAAAUCUGAGCAUCUCCAGGGAGGUUGACCAUAGCAAAUUGGGGGGGGGGCUUCCUUCUGCCAUCUCUUUGAAGGCAAAUAUUUUUAUUACUUUUGCUCUUUUCUGAUUGAUGGUAUGGCUCUAUUCAGUAUUCUGUUUUGAUGGAUUCUAUAGUGUUCUAUGUUUCAUCUCAUUUUGAUAUACGUGAUUGAAAGAACAACUAUUAUAAAGAUAACAAAAUAUACUGUGAUACCUAUUACUGUUAUCCCGGUAACCUGCUGUGAAGGUCUGUACCAAUUUCAUUGUACGGUCUUAGUUGGCUUUAUUCUGUCUUGUUCUGUUGUAUUCUUCCAAAAUAAAAUUUUAAAAAAUUUAAA